rnacentral:rRNA from 1 species
AGAACGAACGCUGGCGGCAGGCUUAACACAUGCAAGUCGAGCGCCCCGCAAGGGGAGCGGCAGACGGGUGAGUAACGCGUGGGAACAUACCCUCCGGUUCGGAAUAGCUCAGGGAAACUUGGAUUAAUACCGGAUACGGCCUAGCGGCGAAAGAUUGAUCGCCGGAGGAUUGGCCCGCGUCUGAUUAGCUAGUUGGUGGGGUAAUGGCCCACCAAGGCGACGAUCAGUAGCUGGUCUGAGAGGAUGAUCAGCCACAUUGGGACUGAGACACGGCCCAAACUCCUACGGGAGGCAGCAGUGGGGAAUAUUGGACAAUGGGCGCAAGCCUGAUCCAGCCAUGCCGCGUGAGUGAUGACGGCCUUAGGGUUGUAAAGCUCUUUCGCUAGGGACGAUAAUGACGGUACCUAGACAAGAACGCCCCGGCUAACUUCGCGCCAGCAGCCGC